ASUCMUACGGGAGGCAGCASUGGSGAAUCWUGCGCAAUGGGCGAAAGCCUGACGCAGYGACGCCGCGUGCGGGAAGAAGGCSUUAGGGUUGUARMCCGCUUUCAGGAGGSACGWAGCCACUCGGGUGAAUAKCCCAGAGGGUGWCGGUACCUCCAGAAGAAGCYCCGGCUAACUMCGYRCCAGCAGCCGCGGUAAUAYGURGGGGGCAAGCGUUGUCCGGAUUCAUUGGGSGUAAAGAGCGUGUAGGCGGCCAGGUAGGUCGGUUGUGAAAAMWGGAGGCUCAACCUUCAGACGUCGACCGAAACCAUCUGGCUAGAGUCCGGGAGAGGAGAGUGGAAUUCCUSGUGUAGCGGUGAAAUGCGCAGAUAUCASGAAGAACACCCGUGGCGAAAGCGGCUCUCUGGAACGGUACUGACGCUGAGACGCGAAAGCGUGGGGAGCGAACAGGAUUAGAUACCCUGGUAGUCCACGCCGUAAACGAUGGGCGCUAGGUGUGGGAGGUGUCGACUCCUUCCGUGCCGCAGCUAACGCMUUAAGCGCCCCGCCUGGGGAGUACGGCCSCAAGGCUAAAACUCAAAGSAAKUGACGG
rnacentral:rRNA from 1 species